rnacentral:rRNA from 1 species
UACGUAGGGUGCAAGCGUUGUCCGGAAUUAUUGGGCGUAAAGAGCUCGUAGGCGGUCUGUCGCGUCUGGUGUGAAAAUCCAGGGCUUAACCCUGGACCUGCAUCGGGUACGGGCAGACUAGAGUGCGGUAGGGGAGAUCGGAAUUCCUGGUGUAGCGGUGAAAUGCGCAGAUAUCAGGAGGAACACCGGUGGCGAAGGCGGAUCUCUGGGACGGUACUGACGCUGAGACGCGAAAGCGUGGGGAGCGAACAGG